CGNCCAAGGCUCUAACAACACGUAUAAUUAAGCAAUUAACAAGAGAAUUGCAUAUAUAAUACAAGGCUUGCUCGAGGGCAAGCAACAACGGAAGCGAAAGCUCUAAGCUAAAUAUACAACACACAUGAUAUUUGAUUUCCUUUAAACCAAAUACAAGUAAACUAAGCUAUUACAUUCCAUUCAACCAUCAUAUCUUUUUACAUUUAGUCAUCCACCAAAUACAUGAUUGUUUACACUUUUCAUUUCUAAAUCAACAAAAUAAAGUUGAUACAUGUAUAACAAAAGGGAAUGACUACAAAAUGCAUAAAGUCCCCGGUGGCCGCUACCUACGGCGCCAAACCCUUGCCUCGGUCCUCCGCCGCCCCGCUCGUGCUAGGACCUGUAGGGUUAGUGGUGUGAGAACUACAACGAAGUUCCCAGUGGGCUCGGCAUCCGACCUCGCCGACUUACCCACUAGGUCUAUCCAGGCAUAAGUAUUUCAAAGGAAGAAAAGUAACCAUUACUAAUGCAACUAAUACUAUGCCUGCAAGAAAAAGUCAGUAGAUAUACAAUUUCAAUGCGAAAAUGGAAAUGCAUGCAUGCUCCAAUCAUAAUCAAACUUUGGCUCUUACCCAAUCUUACCGGUUAACUCUGUUAACCCCAAUAACUCACAACCCAAAAUCCCUUAAUAACGGGGGACUCGAACCUCCCUAGGGACCGUCAACUGGUGGGACUUUACCACGCCCAGUGGUGACCAACUCCGGAGCGCACCGCUCGAGGGGGAGCGACCUCCCUCAAGCCAAGACGAAAGGUGAGUGUCGAUCUAAUCCUCAACUUGAGGAUUCAUAGCCACUAGUCACAAUGCCAAUAUCACGAUAGGUCUCUACCUAUUUAUUUUUGCCACUUUCAAGGCCUUAUCUUCGACCAUGUCACUAUGGGUCAAACUAUUUUCAACGGUCAUCUCUCAAUGCAAUUCUUGUUUCUAUGUCAAUGACACCCUUGUUUUCUAAUGUCCAAGUCCAUACUUAUGUUCACACAUCUCGAGGGCCCAAUCACACAUGUCCGUUUUGGUUCUAUCAUUCUUCUACGUUCAACUACUUUAGAAGCAUAAAAAUGAAAUCAAACCAAGUUCCACAUGUAGCUACCCUACUAUGCAUGAAUGGGUAUAUAUAUAUAUAUAUGCUCAAAAAUAGAGAAAUAGACAUAGAGGGGAAUCCAACGAUUCCGGCGUGCACCCCCCACCUCUAUGAGUCGUGUGGGUGUAGAAUAUUAAGGCCCCCGCACUUUACGAAAGCCGAUUCCGCGCCCUAUAAUCAAAUAGUGCCAUAUUAGGCCUUUUUGUACAUGAACUAUACUCUAACAUUUUCGAAAUAUUAAACGAAGUUGUCCAACGUGUUUUGGGCACCCCCAAUUGGGUUUCUACAGGGUCAAUUUGUCCCCGAAAAAUCCUAGGGCAAAAACCCCAAAUUCAAGCCCUAAUGUUGCCAUUUAGGGUUUCCCCAUGAAUCGAUCCCAACCCUAAGCAAAGAAUAGCUUAGGAUCAUCUAAGAAGCAUCCUAGUAAGGUUUCUAGACCUUUGGUACCAACCCUAGGGCUCCAAACAUCAUCUCCAAGGAUUCACCAUGAGAGCACCUUGAGCUCUCAUGGGUUCCAUGGUGUUCAUGGCUCAAAAGAGCUUCUAAAACCUCUAAGGAGCACAAAGCUCCAAAUCUCUUAACCAAAAUCCAAACCCUAGAGGAAAACCUUACAAAACUUACCUCUAGUCCAAGCUCCACCAAGAUUCUCCUUGUUGGAGAGCUCCUAGAACCUCCAAAGCCUCCAAAUCCUCCUCCUCUUCUCUUCUUCUUCUUCUUCUCCAAGUCCUAGAGCAUGGGUUCUAGAGAGAGAAAGAGAGGAAAAUGGGUGAGAGGGUGGAAAUGGCUGUGGGAGAGAGGGGAUGGGCCAUAUAUAGUGUUGUAACAAUUGCACAUAAGCCCCUCCACUUGUUUCCCAUCAAUCUGCCCAGACUGGGCCAUUUCCGCCUUCGGGGACCGGUCUCCCCGACCAGGGACCGGUUCCCGAACGGGGGUUUUCCAGGACUUAGCCAAAUUUUCGAGUUUUUCGGCUAUUGCGCAGCGAGGGACCGGUCUGCCCGUCAGGGACCGGUCUCCCGAGGACCGGUCUCACCACCAGGGACCGGUUGCCUCAGGAUUUCCUGGCAGGCUACGCGCACGGGGACCGGUCUCUCCUUCAGGGACCGGUCCCCGAGAGCUAAAAUCCUGGGACUUAGCCAGAUUUCCAGAUUUGCUCUCCGGGUCCCUUUUUGCUCCGUUUAUGAGCUCCAAUGCACUUAGGGUUCGCUUUAACUCAUUCGAUUCCGCGUUCCGCUCGUUUUGACGGAACUCGGCACAACUUACGAGGGAUGUGGUAUGUUACAACUGGUCCCCGAGAGUCCAAAAUCUGGAACUUAGCCAGAUUUUGCAAUUUCGCUCUCUCGGGUCCCUUUACUAUAUAUAUGGGUUCCAAUGCACUUAGAACCAAUACUAACUCAUUCCACUCCGCGUUCCGCACAUUUCGACGGAACUCGGCACGACUUAUGGGGAAGUGAUAUGUUACAUAGAGCAUAUAAAUAAAGCUCUAAAGAUCUACCAUGAGAGGAGCUCAAGCUUGCCUCAACAAGCUUCAAUUAACCCAAGUAUUAAGGAUUUAACAUGCUAAGUGUACUAUAGAGGUCAUUGAAUCUCUCACACAAAGGAUUUAAUCAAAAAUCCCAAUUGCAACUCUAGAUUUCCAUUUUACCAAGAGGGUCUCAUUAAUCAUGAUACUCUCUUCAUAAAUUAGUUUAGAAUCAUAUAUAGACCCUAAGCAUCUCAUUUACAAAAGACUUAAUCCUAGCCAUAACUCAAAUCCACAAAACUCACCAUGGCCACCAUGCUCAUCAAGCUAAAUCCACCAUUGGAAAGCUUGCUUCACCAUUGGAGAGCUCCAAGCUUCAUCUCCAACAUCAUCUUCUCCAACUUUAUCUUCUCCAACAUCUUCUCUUUAAUGGAGAUCUUGCUGGAGAGAGAAAGCUAGGGGAGAGAGAAAUGUGAGGAGUGGGCUAAAGAGCAAGAGAGAAAGAUCUCUCUCUCUCUCUCUCUCGGGUUGAAGAAAGCAAAGGGAAAAGCCCUUUUGUUACAUGAAUAGCCCCCUCAACUUAAAUACAAUUUAUAUUCAGUUUUGCAGCUCCGAUACAGAUAUUUUUCACCUGUCCUUCUGAAUGUCCGUUUAAGCUCAAAUUUGACAAUCAGGCUCGGUUUUACUUAACGAAAGAAAUUUUAAUCUUUCAGUUUCGACCAUAUUUGGUCACCGAAAGCUCUACCGAAUUAAAAUCUCUAGCAGAUAGCAGUCGGAUUUUAUUUUCUACUUUCCGGAUGUCAGAAUGACAUAAAACUUUAAAUCUAUCCUCAUAAAAAUAAUUCUGACAUACUCUCUAGUUUUCAUAAUUUUCUGACACUGUGCAUUUUCUGCUAAAAUAUCAGCCCCGUCUCUUACAGAAAAUUCUAAAUCUUCUGUUUUCGUUCCGAUUUCAACACAAGUCAUUUCUGACUUAUAUUUUACUCCACUAAAUCCAAUAAAAAUAGUAUCUCACACUAUUUUUAUUUAUUUUUACUUUUAUAUCAAAAUCCAGUAUGUUACAUUAAUUAUAAUGACCAAUUAAUAUAGGAGAAUCACUCUCUUAUGAUUAAAAUAGAGCUCUAUAUAAUUGAAAAGCUUUCUCUCUUGUUUUGCAUUCUACUUCAAAUCACCUGUGAUUUUUCAUCAUUGGGAGAUGCUUCUAUUUAUAGGUGGGGCAAAAAGACGAGGUAGAGGUGGAAGAGCGUUCUCAUAAUGAAACUUUCAUUUCACUACAAUUAAUAAGGCAUCUCUUUGUUUGGAGAGAAGAGAAAGAAAUGAGAGAAUGAAACGCGCAUCAUAAAUAAGAGGAGAGUUAACUCCUCUCAUUUAAUAUGUAUGGAGAUGAAGAGAGGAAAAGAAAAAGAACGUUCUAUUUUCUUCUUCAUUAAUAGUACAAUUAUUAUGGACGUUGUUAUUCUCUUUCUUUUCUCCUUACUCGUCUUCACCUCCCAACAAAUUGAUAUGAGGGGAUUAAUUAAAGAGAGAGUUGUCACCUCAUAAAUUGUUGCAACUAUUGCACAUAAGCCCUCGUACUAAAUCUUAAUAUUAGGUCACUUUACACAAAUUUCAUCUUUUGCAAUUAGAGUUUUUGCUAACCACCUUAGCAAAUAAAUUCUUAUUUCGCUACUUUAGCAAAAUAAUCUCUAUUAAUUUUUCAAGCACUUGAUCACACGCAGCCUUUAUUGUGUGUGACCACAUAGGUUCAAUUCUACCUGGUAGUGAGAUGUAACACUAAACUCUUUUAAUGUCACCAUCGAAACUUUUUUCGAUGGACCAAAACAUUUUUGGUUCUCCCAACUGAGAGUAAUUAACUAUCGUAAUCAUUCUCAUGGGUCCCACAAUCCACGAGUGACACCUAGCAGUAUAUCGCGGCAAUCCAAGUAGAAUUAACAAUAGGCAGAACCUCUAUGUCUAGUUACCGUGUGAUAAAAUUCUUCUAUUACUAGUCUCGAUAGAGCCGAGGUUAUGGAUUACUCGUCAAUCCCCAUUACUCAAUUAUAUGUCUAAUCUGAUUAACAACUAGUAUGGAAACUCCUUUCCAUAAAAUCACGCUGCCUUGGCCAAAAACUUGUAAAACAGAUAGCAUAGAACAAUUACCUCUCUACCGAGGGUGAUAGAUUCCAUCUUGACACACACAUACCUCCACGUAUGACCCACUGCAGCCAAUAUGUGUUGCCUUAACCCAUGAUUAGGGUAUAAGUAUUUACACAGUCAAACUACAAUAACCCACACGUAAGAUAACCGUGGUGCCUCAGGUUAAAGGAUCACUCACACUACUACAGUAUGGAACAAUUCACUGACGAGUGAGUAGACAUCCAUGUGAUUGCUUAAAGUUGGUCACGCUCAGUGAAAUUGUUCUCUAACAUUCACCUGUAUGCUUACUCUAGUGUCACCACACUAAUGACUUGAGACUCGUCAUCCCAUAAGGAAAGUAUAUCAUACACCGAUCUAUCCGGAUUUACCACAGCCCUCGUGAUAAUCCUAUGAUUAGGAGCAUUUAAGAAUUAAUUACAGAAGAAUAUAUGUCUUAAAUUUCUAACUUCUUAGAAAUUAAUUCUUCUACUAUUAAUUCUAUGGAUGAUUCAUAAAUAUGCAUUUGGCAAUAAUAUGAAUGAAGAAUGCCAGAUUUAAUCAUAAAAGAAAAUUACACUGAUAUUAUCCCUUUAAGUUAUGACAUAGAUUGGCUUAUAGGGCAUAUAACUAACAACCACGAACUGAUCCAAGUAUGGCUUGAAUAUAUUGUUCAUCAAAUUAAUACAUAUGGCAGUGUCACGCUCCGGGGCCGAGCGGAAGCCCGCCCGGCACGUGUCCAGAUCCGCCAUAUGUCUAAAACAUAUAAGGCGUCUACGAUAAAGCAAUAAAUGAAACAAUAAUACAAAGAGAUCUAGCGAUAUCAGAGCAAAGUACUACUAGAUUUUACAACAGGAGAAUACAACGAAAGCUAAAAUUCACUAAAUUAAACCAUAAAGUAGAACAACAAAAGUCCGAGUACAAGUGCUAUAAGUGGUACAAUGGUGGUCUCUAUACAUGGUAACAAAACUCUCUCUCAUCAAAAACACAAAAUGAGAGUAGACCACCUAGGAGCAAAAGCAAGCUCCGCGCUAACUAGCUAUGCGACUAUCUUGCCGCGAUCCCGUGUCUCCGCCGGUGCUGAAGGCUCUGAAAAAGAUAUCAAACAGAGGGCGUGAGAACUAUUAAAUAAUAGUUCCCAAUGGGCAAUUACUGACUUCAGAUAAGAGCACCACUAGGCCCAAAACUAGGCAAAUAAGUAGAAGCGAGUAAUAAACGAAAUGAACAGCAGGUAAAUAACUUGAAUGCUUGUUACAACAUGAUGUCUCUACUUAGCAUGAUUUUGCACAUGUAAGAAAGCUAUGCAAACAUGAAUAAGGAUAAGUAUGCAACCAACAUAAUGUCCACAACGGAAAUAGUAAGAUGUCAUUAUUUACUAUUCUAGUUCAAGUCCAGUUGGCAUAUCAACAACAUAAAGUUUCAAUCUUGUAAGACCCACCCGAAGGCUGUCUGGCCUGAAGACCCACCCGUAGGCUGUCUGGCCUGUGCCAUGCCUAAUGAUCCCGUGGUAGUCAACAUCCCACUCUAGGAAUGAGCCUUGUUCACGGCAAUCCACUUCGGCGCCCAAUCCCGCACGGCGAGUAUGUAUUGCUAUGGCUAUCUCCGGAGUGCCGACUUGUAGGGAGCGACCCUCACAAGCAUGUGCGAAUGAGCACAAGGGCAAGUAAGCAUAUAAGUCUGUCUCAAGUCUCAAGUCUCAAGUCCUCAUGUCUACAACAUAGAAUGUAACCUGUGUCUCAAUGGCCUACCACUAUGUCAUCAUGUCUAAAACAUGGAAUAUAGUAGAUGUCACAAUGGCCUAUCACUAUGUCUCUAUGUUCCAGUUUCACAGUUUACUAAGCCGGUGCCCCUUUAUGGCACUUUUGUUCACCAAGUCCAAGCAUGAGUUUAGUAUUCAAGAAUACAUAAUUCGAGUCAUUUUUCAUACGAGAUAUGUUUCAAAUACCCAAGAAGAAUGCUACUCACAUGCAUGAUUAAUCCACAUAAAGCUCUACUAUAUAGAGAUGAAUUUUCAUAAUAUAUAACACAUGCAUUUAAGUAUUCUAAAAUUCACAUAAAUUCUAUCUAGCAUGGAUAUGCAUGCGAUGCGAUAAAACGAAAACAUUUAACCACUUAGGAGAAGUUUUCUCGUAUUCCAAUGAAGCCAAACCCACCGUGACUUCAUGAAACCCUUCGUUUGCCUCGACGAAGGUGUCUACCACUGUCCUAGUACCCUAAAGGUAACAAAAGGAGGGAUACACGAACGUUACGAACAAUCCUAGGUUCGAAUAUUAAACAACUCAAGCAAAAGGGCAAAAACUCAUCGAAAAUGGUGAAAAUGCCCUUGAUCUUCCAAAGAGAGCAAGAAUCCCUCAAAACAACCUAAAGGAAGGUUCUAAGCCAAUCAAUUAAGAUCAAAAAGCGUCAACUCAAAAAUUCCCAUUUUAAACCCUAAACUCUCGUUUCUAGGGUUCCAAUAUCAAAAACCCUCCAAAACAUGAAUCAAAUGGUAGGUUAAACUUACUAACCUCUCCAAAGCACCAACUCAAGCUAGCAAGUGAGCUAGGAUUGAAGAUCAAACCUCAAACAAGCUCCAAUCCCGAAAUCCAAGCUUCUCCCAUGGAGGAAACCAACAAAAAGCAAGGAAAAGCAAGAGAGAGGAGAUCAAAACAUGCAAUAAUCCAUCAAAAAUAGAAAUCAAACAAGGGGGGAAGGGCUCACCUUGUUUCUCCUCUAGUCUCAGCUCAAAAGAGCUCCAAAGGGGGCUGGGGUGAGUUAUAUAGGUGUUGCAACAAAUGCAAAAACACCCCUCUACAAAACAGCUCGCAGAGCAAAGUGUACCGGUACACGGGAGGGUGUACCGGUACAAAUCCCGCGUAUGUGCGAACCCGAGGCUCGGGUUGGCAAUAUACCACAUCUGUACCGGUGCAACCAUCAAGGUGUACCAGUACACAUUCUGUACCGAUACAACUAUCAAGGCUGUACCGGUACACAGCCCUGCAGAGGCAACCCGAGAGCAGCUUAAGUCCUCCUCUCUGGUGGCCUUAGCGCUACUUAAAAUACCAUAAAUCUCAGGAUACGAGCCAUAGGUGGGAACACUGUCAACGACCCUCCAGAAUAUCUAGAAAAACUCAGAACACUCAUCAAACACUCGAACCUCGCCAUUUGCAAAGGUCCAGUGUGUUACAUUCACCCCUCCUAAAAAGGAGUUUCUGUCGCGCCCCAAUCCCCGCCAAUUUGGUCGUGUUCGGGUCACGUCUACAGACGCCGAACGGACAGAGCCUCCCCUGUCCGCCCAAGGCUCCAACCACAUGUAUAAAUAAGCAAUCAACAAGAGAUUUGCAUAUAUAAUACAAGGCUUGCACGAGGGCAAGCAACAACGGAAGCGAAAGCUCUAAGCUAAAUAUACAACAUACAUGAUAUUUGAUUGCAUUUAAACCAAAUUCAAGUAAGCUAAGCUAUUACAUUCCAUUCAUCCAUCAUAUCUUUUACAUUUAGUCAUCCAUCAAAUACAUGAUUGUUCACACUUUACAUCUCUAAAUCAACAAGGUGAAGUUGAUACAUGUACACCAAAAGGGAAUGACUACAAAAUAUGAAGAGUCCCGGUGACCGCUACCUACGGCGCAAUACCCUUGCCUCGGUCCUCCGCCGCCCCGCUCGUGCUAGGACCUGUAGGGUUAGUGGUGUGAGAACUACAACGAAAUUCCCAGUGGGCUCGGCAUCCGACCUCACCGACUUACCCACUAGGUCUAUCCAGGCAUAAGUAUUUCAAAGGAGGGAAAGUAACCACUACUAAUGUCACGCCCCAAUCCCUGCCAAUUUGGUCAGGUUCGGGUCACGUCAACAGACGCUGAACGGACAGAGCCUCCCCUGUCCGCCCAAGGCUCUAACAACAUGUAUAAAUAGGCAAUCAACAAGAGAAUUGCAUAUAAUACAAGGCUGGCACGAAGGCAAGCAACAACGGAAGCGAAAGCUCUAAGCUAAAUAUAGAUUACACAUGAUAUUUGAUUUCAUUUAAACCAAAUUCAAGUAAACAAAGCUAAUGUAAAACUAUUACAUUCCAUUCAACCAUCAUAUCUUUUUACAUUUAGUCAUCCACCAAAUACAUGAUUGUUUUCACUUUACAUACCUAAAUCAACAAAAUAAAGUUGAUACAUGUAUAACAAAAGGGAAUGACUACAAAAUGCAUAAAGUCCCCGGUGGCCGCUACCUACGGCGCCAAACCCUUGCCUCGGUCCUCCGCCGCCCCGCUCGUGCUAGGACCUGUAGGGUUAGUGGUGUGAGAACUACAACGAAGUUCCCAGUGGGCUCGGCAUCCGACCUCGCCGACUUACCCACUAGGUCUAUCCAGGCAUAAGUAUUUCAAAGGAAGAAAAGUAACCAUUACUAAUGCAACUAAUACUAUGCCUGCAAGAAAAAGUCAGUAGAUAUACAAUUUCAAUGCGAAAAUGGAAAUGCAUGCAUGCUCCAAUCAUAAUCAAACUUUGGCUCUUACCCAAUCUUACCGGUUAACUCUGUUAACCCCAAUAACUCACAACCCAAAAUCCCUUAAUAACGGGGGACUCGAACCUCCCUAGGGACCGUCAACUGGUGGGACUUUACCACGCCCAGUGGUGACCAACUCCGGAGCGCACCGCUCGAGGGGGAGCGACCUCCCUC
rnacentral:lncRNA from 1 species